rnacentral:tRNA from 1 species
GCCUGGGUGGCUCAGCCGGUUAAGCGUCCGACUUCGGCUCAGGUUCUGAUCUCGCAGUUCGUGGGUUCGAGUCCCGCGUCGGGCU